rnacentral:rRNA from 1 species
GACGAACGCUGGCGGCGUGCCUAAUACAUGCAAGUAGAACGCACAGUUUAUACCGUAGCUUGCUACACCAUAAACUGUGAGUUGCGAACGGGUGAGUAACGCGUAUGUAACCUGCCUGGUAGCGGGGGAUAACUAUUGGAAACGAUAGCUAAUACCGCAUAAUAUUGAUUAUUGCAUGAUAAUUGAUUGAAAGAUGCUAUUGCAUCACUACCAGAUGGACCUGCGUUGUAUUAGCUAGUAGGUGAGGUAACGGCUCACCUAGGCGACGAUACAUAGCCGACCUGAGAGGGUGAUCGGCCACACUGGGACUGAGACACGGCCCAGACUCCUACGGGAGGCAGCAGUAGGGAAUCUUCGGCAAUGGACGAAAGUCUGACCGAGCAACGCCGCGUGAGUGAAGAAGGUUUUCGGAUCGUAAAGCUCUAUUGUAAGAGAAGAAGGGGUGUGAGAGUAGAAAGUUCACACUGUGACGGUAUCUUACCAGAAAGGGACGGCUAACUACGUG